UACGUAGGUGACGAGCGUUAUCCGGAAUUACUGGGCGUAAAGGGCGCGUAGGCGGCACGACAAGUCUGAAGUGAAAGCCCGGGGCUCAACCCCGGAAUGUCUUUGGAAACUGUCGAGCUUGAGUGCGGAAGAGGCAUCUGGAAUUCCUAGUGUAGCGGUGAAAUGCGUAGAUAUUAGGAAGAACACCUGAGGCGAAGGCGGGAUGCUGGGCCGACACUGACGCUGAGGCGCGAAAGCCAGGGGAGCGAACGGG
rnacentral:rRNA from 1 species